rnacentral:rRNA from 1 species
CACUAUGCUCAGCCCUAAACUUUGAUAGGCCACUACGCCCCCUAUCCGCCCGGGUACUACGAGCAUCAGCUUAAAACCCAAAGGACUUGGCGGUGCUUCAUAUCCGUCUAGAGGAGCCUGUUCUAGAACCGAUAACCCCCGUUAAACCUCACCCUCCCUUGUUAACCCCGCCUAUAUACCGCCGUCGUCAGCCUACCCUGUGAAGGACUAGAAGUGAGCAAGAUUGGUAAAACCCAAAACGUCAGGUCGAGGUGUAGUGAAUGAGAGGGAAAGAAAUGGGCUACAUUUCCUAAGCCAGGAAAUACGAAUAAUGAACUGAAAUAAGCAUUAGAAGGUGGAUUUAGCAGUAAGUAGGAAAACAGAGUGUUCCGCUGAAGAAUGGCCAUAAAGCACGCACACACCGCCCGUCACUCUCCCCAAGCUACCCUAACCAACACGUACCUAAAAAAUUAUCCAUGCAAAGGGGAGGCAAGUCGUAA